AAGGGCACCACAAGAACGCGUGGAGCAUGUGGCUUAAUUUGACUCAACGCGGGAAAUCUUACCGGGUCCGGACACACUGAGGAUUGACAGAUAUACGUAUACUAUAUGUAUACGUUCAAAGAUGCUAGUUCUUUCAUGAUUAUGUGAUAGGUGGUGCAUGGCCGUUCUUAGUUCGUGGAGUGAUCUGUCUGCUUAAUUGCGUUUCAUAUAUACGUACAUAUUUUCAUAUGUGUACACUUUGAAAGCAACGAACGUGACCGUAUUCUUUUGUUAUAUAUACUAUACGCGAGUAUAUAAACCAAAAUGUGAGACCGCUGUUUCUUUCUUUUAAACCAGAGGAAGGUUAUGGCAAUAACAGGUCUGUGAUGCCCUUCGAUGUUCCGGGCUGCACACGUGCUACAAUGAUUAUAUCAUUAAGUACAUAUAUCCUACUCUGAGAAUAGUUGGUAAUCAGAAGUAAUGAUCUCUCUCGUAUACGCAUACAUGUAUCGUAUAUAUUAAUAUAUAUUAAUUUAUACGUAUACGCGUAAAUAUUAAUUCAUGGUGGGGAUAGUCCAUUGUUAAUUGUUGGUCUCGGUCUAAACUAGGAAUGCCUUGUACGGGUUAUUGGUUCAACAAACCACCCGGAAUACGUCCCUGCCCUUUGUACACACCGCCCGUCGCUCUUACCGAUGAACUUCGCUAUGAAUCUAUUAGACUGCGUUAUACGCGCGGAAAGAUAUAUGAAUAGUGUGGUUUAAAGGAAAGAGAAGUCGUAACAAGGCAUCGGUAGGUGAACCU
rnacentral:rRNA from 1 species